UACGUAGGGGGCAAGCGUUGUCCGGAUUUAUUGGGCGUAAAGAGCGUGUAGGCGGCCGUACAGGUCAGCUGUGAAAACUCGAGGCUCAACCUCGAGACGUCGGUUGAAACCGUACGGCUAGAGUCCGGAAGAGGAGAGUGGAAUUCCCGGUGUAGCGGUGAAAUGCGCAGAUAUCGGGGAGAACACCCGUGGCGAAGGCGGCUCUCUGGGACGGUACUGACGCUGAGACGCGAAAGCGUGGGGAGCGAACAGG
rnacentral:rRNA from 1 species